rnacentral:rRNA from 1 species
UGUGUAGGCGGUUGUUUAAGUUUGGUGUGAAAUCUCCCGGCUCAACUGGGAGGGUGCGCCGAAUACUGAAUGACUCGAGUGCGGGAGAGGAAAGUGGAAUUCCUGGUGUAGCGGUGAAAUGCGUAGAUAUCAGGAGGAACACCGGUGGUGUAGACGGCUUUCUGGACCGUAACUGACGCUGAAACACGAAAGCGUGGGUAGCAAACAGGAUUAGAUACCCUGGUAGUCCACGCCCUAAACGAUGCACAUUUGGUGUGGGUCAUUCAGUUGAUCCGUGCCGGAGCUAACGCGUUAAAUGUGCCGCCUGGGGAGUACGAGUCGCAAGGCUAGAA